rnacentral:rRNA from 1 species
UAGAGUUUGAUCCUGGCUCAGGACGAACGCUGGCSGCGCGCCUAACACAUGCAAGUCGAACGAGAGAUGAGGAGCUUGCUCCUCAGAUCGAGUGGCGAACGGGUGAGUAACGCGUGAGGAACCUGCCUCAAAGAGGGGGACAACAGUUGGAAACGACUGCUAAUACCGCAUAAGCCCACGGCUCGGCAUCGAGCAGAGGGAAAAGGAGCAAUCCGCUUUGAGAUGGCCUCGCGUCCGAUUAGCUAGUUGGUGAGGUAACGGCCCACCAAGGCGACGAUCGGUAGCCGGACUGAGAGGUUGAACGGCCACAUUGGGACUGAGACACGGCCCAGACUCCUACGGGAGGCAGCAGUGGGGAAUAUUGCACAAUGGGGGAAACCCUGAUGCAGCGACGCCGCGUGGAGGAAGAAGGUCUUCGGAUUGUAAACUCCUGUUGUUGAGGAAGAUAAUGACGGUACUCAACAAGGAAGUGACGGCUAACUACGUGCCAGCAGCCGCGGUAAAACGUAGGUCACAAGCGUUGUCCGGAAUUACUGGGUGUAAAGGGAGCGCAGGCGGGAGAACAAGUUGGAAGUGAAAUCCAUGGGCUCAACCCAUGAACUGCUUUCAAAACUGUUUUUCUUGAGUAGUGCAGAGGUAGGCGGAAUUCCCGGUGUAGCGGUGGAAUGCGUAGAUAUCGGGAGGAACACCAGUGGCGAAGGCGGCCUACUGGGCACCAACUGACGCUGAGGCUCGAAAGUGUGGGUAGCAAACAGGAUUAGAUACCCUGGUAGUCCACACCGUAAACGAUGAUUACUAGGUGUUGGAGGAUUGACCCCUUCAGUGCCGCAGUUAACACAAUAAGUAAUCCACCUGGGGAGUACGACCGCAAGGUUGAAACUCAAAGGAAUUGACG